rnacentral:sRNA from 1 species
UAAAGAAGCAGUAUACCAAUUUCAUGAAC